rnacentral:tRNA from 1 species
GCUGGGUUAGCUCAGUUGGUUAGAACAUGGUGCUAAUAACACCAAGUUCACAGGUUCAAUCCCUGCUCACUGCA